rnacentral:rRNA from 1 species
GACGAACGCUGGCGGCGUGCUUAACACAUGCAAGUCGAACGGAAAGGCCCUGCUUUUUUGGUGUGCUCGAGGGGCGAACGGGUGCGUAACACGUGUGUAACCUGCCCUUGACUUUGGGAUAGCUUCAGGAAGCUGGGGCUAAUACCGUAUAGGAGCUCCUGCUGCAUGGUGGGGGUUGGAUAGUUUCGGCGGUUGGGGAUGGACGCGCGGCUUAUCAGCUUGUUGGUGGGGUAGUGGCUUACCAAGGCUGUGACGGGUAGCCGGCCUGAGAGGGUGACCGGCCACAAUGGGACUGCGAGACGGCCCAGACGCCUACGGGGGGCAGCAGUGGGGAAUAUUGCACAAUGGGAGGAAGCCUGAUGAAGAAACGCCGCGUGCGGGAUGACGGCCUGCGGGUUGUAAACCGCAUUCGCCUGUGACGAAGCGUGAGUGACGGUAAUGGGUAAAGAAGCACCGGCUAACUACGUG